CGCGGGGAGGUAAUAAUAUCACUUUUAUCUAGUUAAGGUGUGUAAUAGGUCACUUAUAUAAUUUAGGUGUGGCUUAGACUUUUCUUGUAUAGUAUGAGAUGGAAAUGAUGUCUUUUCCCUAAAAAAAAAUACAAUUUAUCUUUAAGAUCAAGUAGACUUACCUCAGAUUUUACUUCUUUUUCUUCCAUGUCUGAGUCACCUAUAUCCAUAAGUGCACUUUUAUCAACUCCAUCAUCAUCAGAUUAUUCUAAGCUUGAUCCCCAUACAGCCAUCGUAGAAAAAAAUUUCUUACUUUUAGAGUUAGAUUUCUCUUUUAGCUUCAACUCUUUUUCAACUAUUUCCUUUUCCUUCCCCAUUUUCCACAAUGGACAAUCCUUGAUCAUAUGAUCUAUAUUAUCACACUUAAAGCAACCAACUUGAGACUUAUCAUUGGAGCAACACCUGCUACUUGUUCUUUUCUUGUUCUGACGCUUUCCUUUCUUAAAAAAUCUUUUAAAGUUCUUGACAAGCUUUUCAUCAUCCAAAUUUGAUUCUUCUACAGAUGUCUUUAAUGCUAGUGAUUUAUUCUUAGUUUCCUCAUCCUUUUUUAAGGUCUCUAUAUCAUUCUCAUACAUAUCCACAAGAGUGUCUUAAAUUUGUUUGGCGGUGAUAAAACCUAAGAUCCUGUUGUAUUUACUAUUCCAAGUCCACAAUUAAGAAUAUACUUGGACUUUGCAUUCUUUUCAAGUAUCUUAAAGUCAACCUCAUCGCACUCAUUCUUUUCUUUUAAUAUGUCUUUGUUUUCAACAUCCUUCUUCAUGGGGUAUUAUGUUCCAUCGAUAAUUCUAUUCCAGAGUUUGUAGUCCACAACCUAAAGAAAAUCUUUCAUCCUGAGUAGUAGUAUCCAUUGAACAACGGAGGCCUAUUUAUGUCUUAUACUUCGCAGUAUCCAGUAGGUGGCGUAGAAUUAAUCUUUGGUCUUAUCUCAAGGUGUAAGCUUCACAAGAUAACCUUCUUUGAUACCAAUUGAUAAUUCUACACUUCCUAAUAACUCACGUGAGUUAUGCUCGAUUUUUUCCUAUGAAUGGACCGGGUCGCCUAACAUGUUCCAACAGAAGCAGUAAAGACAGUAAAUAAUGAACACGAUAGUUUUACAUGGAAAACACCCGACUCGUAAGAGGUGUUAAAAAUUACGACCUGUACCUCUACAGGACUUAACCCCAACUUCACUAAACAUAAUGAGUCUCUCAACAAAAGACUGCAAACUCUGUAACCUAAGGAAUUAUAAACUCUAAUUUCUAAUAUUCAACAAUAUCCUCAGACUGUUGAAACCUACUUCAAGUUUCCCCACUUGAAAUCAAAUUAUAAAACUCCAGCAACCCUAGGAACUAACUCCAAUUCCUAAUACACAAACCUCCCAAGUUUUAUAUUCCCAAGUCCUUAGUUAUCCUAACUCAAAGACUAAACUCUUAAACCAGUUUUUAACACACUAGUACUAAGAAAGCAUGAAAAUUACAACUCAAUAAACUUCGUAAUACAUAAUAACUAGAAUAAAAGAGUGUUUAACGCAUAGAUGAAACAGGUUCUUCAAUUUGAUUCUUCAAUCUAGUUCACUGUAUUUGGCUGCACUUCUAUAGGCAGAACUCUCUCAAAUAUCGUUCUUACUUAUUUUCUCAUGUUCUCCCUUUUUCUCUCAGUAUUUGUGCAUCAUUUUCUUUUUAAAAGUUCUUGAAUAUUUAUAACUUCUAUUGAUCUUCACAAUCAAGUAGACUUUCAACUCCACAAAGACUCCCAUGCUUCUUGGACUCUCUUCUUGAGUGUUGUAGUCAAACACUAAAUCUUCUUUUCAGAACAUGAUGAUCUUCUAAUGUUUAUCUGAAGUAACACACUUUCUUUCUUUUAUUUUUGCUCAUAUGAUUUUAUCCAAAGAAAGUCCUCUUGCAAGUUGAACUCUUUUGAAGCAGUUUUUCAUGAACCAUCUACGCUUACUUGUUCCAUGACCUUUUGUCAAUCAUUAAAAUUUCACAAGUCUUAAUAAAUUCUCCCUUUUUGAUGAUGACAAACUCAGGCCCUUGUGCAUUCCAUUUUGACAUCAACAUCUUGACCUAUAAACACUAAAGCAUAGAAUAGUUGAAUGAAAACUCAUGCUCUUGUGCAUUUUAUUUCAAUAGAGACAUCUUGACCUAUGAAAGUUGAAAAGGACUCUCAUCUUCUUGGACUCUUGAGCCUGCAUAUUUGUGAACUCCUUAUGUGGAUACGGUUUGUCCAAGUCUAUAAGAACUCUUGCAUGACAAGGACUCCUAUAUUGCUUAGAUGUUUGAGUUUGUGCAUUUUUGGACUUUUGUAUUGAAUAUACUUUGUACAAACUUUGUGGUAUUUUCUUCUUGAGACUUUCGUUAUUUCAAAAAGUCCAUAUACAACUAGACUCUGGAUGCAGGAACCUAUUGACCAACCUAUUUCAUGUACAUGUUCCACUGCUUUGUCAAUCAUCAAAAUAUACACGAGCUCAAUGCUAUAUUUUUCAAUGUUUUCUCAAAAAAUGCAUUUACUCAAUCAAGACAAACUUCUGACAAUAGCUGAACAAAUAUUUUUAAUUUUAAUUUAACUCAUUAAAUAUUUGUGACAAAAUCAAGGCUUUUGAAUAAAAUUAAAACCACAUGCAAAAAUACAUCAACAUGGAGAAUUAACAAGCUAAUCAAUACACCAUCAGUCACAAUAAUAACCGAAAUCAACCCUAAAUAAUGACACAUUACAUCAUUUUAGACAUAAAUUACAUAAUAUCUACCAUAAAAUCAUCAAUACAAUAAUACAAAGGUACAAGAUACAUCUGAAGAAGCAUUGUAUACACCAAUUUUGAAUAACUUAAGCAUGUCGUUUCAGCAUAUAUUGAUCAUUUUCAGCUACAUUAAGUUCAGAUCUCAUUUGCAUGUUUUAAUAAAAAAAAGAUUUAUCGGACAUUUCUAAGAUCACAAAAUCAGGAACAUAAUACAUAGAUUGAAAAUCUCCAUAUUAUUAUCUUGAUAUUCAACAAUAAAAAUUUUAAAUGAGUUAAACAACAUGCAAAUGCUGAAAAACAUAGAUAAUGUCAACAAAUAGUUAAACUCACCAUUUGGAGUUAGUGAAUAACAACUUUUACUGAAAAUGAUCAUUGUAAAUAGAGCAAAAAUAACAAAAUACAUAGACUCAUUUCGAUUGUAUAAUGAAACAAAACAUAUUUGAGCUUAGUUUUUCAUUUCAAGAUAAAAGUAUUACCAAGUUGAAAUUAAAGACAAUGAUGGAGUUUUAAUACAAUUAAUAGCUAGCUGAUUAAGGAUGUUACAAAUAAAAUUCAUAAAAAUAAAGUUAAAGCACGAAAUGAGAAAAAUCAAAAGAGGAGGUGUGAUUCUUUGUUUUUGAAGAAAGAGAAGAAUUUACUUUAAAAUGGUAUAGAAAUUACGAUGACUAAAGAGGAUCUGUUAUUUUUAUGGGAAAAGGCAUUGUUUCCACCCCAAACUAUACCCGAAAAGUCGAAGCCACACCUAAACUAUACUAGUAACCUAUUACACACCUAAACUAUAAAAAAGGGAAACUAUUUACACCCUAUCAGGAUACCACCACUUGCAUGUGGUGUAGUGUUUUACACGCGCUGUCACAUCAACGCCACGUCAGUAAAAAGUAUCACUUUUUUUUAUAGUUAAGGUGUGUAAUAGGUCACUUAUAUAGUUUAGGUGUGGAUUCAACUUUUCGACUAUAGUUUGGGGUGAAAAUGAUGUCUUUUUCCUUAAUGUUUUUAGCCAUUUACUUUUGUUAUUUAAUAGGCUGGACGCGCCUAAAAUAAGUGUAACACAUGCGCCUUAGAAUGGGGGUCGCAGGGAGGUAAUAAUAUCACUUUUAUAUAGUUAAGGUUGUAAUAGAUCACUUAUAUAAUUUAAGUGUGGCUUAGACUUUUCUUGUGUAGUAUGAGGUGGAAAUAAUUUCUUUUCCCUUAUUUUUAUCAAACAUAAACAAACACCAAAGAUGAAGGUGAAGAGAAAAGUAACUUUUCACACAACAAAUGCUUUUAUAGUAAUUGUUUCUUAUUCUAGAUGCAUCCAUGGAUUUUUAUUUAUUUUAUUUUCUUUUAAUAUGAGAUGUUAUUUAAUGAUCUAGAUCUUCAAUUUUUUUAACCUAGAACUGCUAUUUAUGGGGUUGGAUCUUUUUAAUUAGUUUGGAACACAAUUUUAUUUAAUAAAUUCAAUUAUUUAAGAAAAUAAAAAUUAUAUUUGUAUUUAAUUAUAUUAAUUGAUAUUAAUGGUAUCAUAUUGCUUGGACCUGCAUGCACCUAGAGGUAUGCAUCAGUUGAUUUAUUUCGAUUUUAUGAAUUUUUAUUAAGUUUAAUCUUUUUCGAUUUUUAAUAUGGUAAAUCAAUAAUCAUAUUAAUAAAUUAUUUUUUCUAUUUUUAAUUUAUCAAUUUUUAAUCUUUAACGUUUUGAUUAUCAUUUAAUCAAUAAUAUAAUAUUUAUAAAUAAUAUAGUGUUAACUUACAUAAAAGAAACUAAAUCUCAGUUUUAACCAAAAUUCAAGAUGAUGAACUUUAAUUUCAUAACUAAAAAGUUGAAAAGGUUGCCAGUAAAUUGAAUAGUUUCGUAUAAAUUAUAUAGACAUUAAGAAAAAUAUAUACCAAUAAGUAUAUGAAUAUGUAUAUUUGUGUUAGAAUAACGAUAAACAAUAAUAGUUUUAUGAUCACAAUAUAUUACCAGAUUCGUUUAUUUGCAAUCUCCUACACACACCAUCUUUUAAAUUUUAUGCUAUUUAUAGUAUUAUAAUUUUGUUCAAUGUAAAUUAUCAAAAAUAAAAACUUUAUCUAUUUAAUUCAAUAGGAAUAUAUUAUUAAUUUAAAUUAAUAGUAAGGAAAAUUUAGACUUAAAUAUGUCAUCAACUUUUAAAAAUGAACAUUUUGUGUUAUAUAUUUUGCGCUUUUAUUUCACAAUAUUAAAAGAUUUGACUCGUUAAUGUCUAUACCAUUAUAGAAAUUAUUCAUUUACACUACUUUUUUUAAUGGUGACAAGGUCCCUAGGGAGGUUCUUUAGAGAUGCUUGGAGGUGAGGGGGUCCCGGUAGCGUACAUCAGAAUGAUUAAAGACAUGUAUGAGGGAGCGAAGACUCGGGUAAGGACAGUGGGAGGAGAUUCAGAGCAUUUUCUGGUCUUGAUAGGGUUGCAUCAGGGAUCAACUCUUAGUCCAUUUUUAUUCACUUUAAUGAUGGAUGUGCUGACGCGGAAUAUACAAGGCGAGGUGCCUUGGGGUAUGCUUUUCGAGGAUGAUAUAGUUUUGCUUGAUGAAUCACGACAAGGGGUUAUUGAUAAGCUGGAGGUUUGGAGACAAACCCUGGAGGCUAAAGGUUUCAGGUUGAGUAGGACCAAGAUGGAGUACUUGGAAUGCAAGUUUAGUGACUCGAGACAAGAGGAGGAGGUGGUAGUGAAGUUGGAUUCUCAGGCGGUUUGCAAGAGGAAGAGUUUUAAGUAUCUCGGGUCUAUGAUUUAGGAAAAUAGGGAGAUAGAUGAGGAUGUCUCUCAUCGUAUUGGGGUAGGUUGGAUGAAAUGGAGGCUUGCUUCGGGAAUUUUAUUCGAUAAGAAGGUGCCCCUAAGCUGAAAGAUAAAUUCUAUAGAGUUGCCAUCCGGCCUGCUAUGUUGUAGGGAGCGGAGUGUUGGCCGGUUAAGAAUUCUCAUAUUCAAAAAUUGAAGGUGGCGGAAAUAAGGAUGUUGCAUUGGAUGUGUGGAUUCACAAGGGCUACAGGGUUAGGAAUGAAAUUAUUCGGAAAAAGGUGGGAGUGGUGUCAGUGGAGGAUAAAAUGCGGGAAGUGAGGUUGAGAUGGUUUGUUCAUGUGAUGAGGAGGGGCACAGAUGCCCCAAUUUGUAGGUGUGAGAGGUUUGCCUUGGAUGGUUUCAAGCGGGAUAGGGGUAGACCAAAGAAAUACUGGAGAGAAGUAAUUAAACGUGACAUGGAGCAGUUACAGAUGACUGAGGACAUGAUCCUGAAUAGGAAGAUAUGGAGAAAAAAUAUUAGGAUAGAGGGCUAAGGGUGUGGAUGAGUAGUAGUCAGUAAUUAGAUGGACUUCGAUGUCCUUUGUUUGACAAUGUAAAUUUUUUUUGUGGAUAUCGUACCUAUGUUGUUUUAUUAUGUUCUAUGCUUUGGAUGCUUUUGUAUACUCAGAGGCGGACCCACGUGUAGCGGUGGGGUGCACAUGCACCCGUUAACGUCAAAAAAAAUUAUGUGUAUAUAUGUGUAUAUACCUUGAUAAAUUGGAAUAUAUACUAUAGUGCACCCAUAGUUGACAGAUAGUGCACCUUGGUAUGCUGGUUGAUGCCCGCACUUCCACCCACGCGAACAUUUUCUCUUUUAUUUUCAAUUAUUUAGAUUUAAAGGCUUAUUAACAAAACUUGAUGAAAUGGGGAUUCGAACCAGGGAUCAGUACCUAAGGUGAACUCUCCUUCAUCACUCCUUCAUCAUUAACCUACCACAACUGAUUGUUAAAAAUUGAUAAAAGUAAACUUCAUAUUUUAAUUCUUCAGAUUUAAAGGCUUAUAUCAAAGUUGUAACAAAAAUCGAUGAAAUGGAAAUUCGAACUCACAACCAAUCCCUAAGGUGAACACCCCUUCACCACUAACCUACCACAAUUGAUGGUUAUAAAAGUAUACUUUAUAUUAUAAGAAAGUAAAGUUAUUAUCUUAGAACUCAUAUUCGUUCAAUAUAAUUAUUUUUGCAUUAUUGUUCAUGUCUUUGGCAACCAAUUGAAUAUGAUAAUAUUCCUUAAUCGAAACUCAAAGUUUUUCUAACGUCUUAAGAUAAUAUUGGUGCACCACAAUAUUAUCAAAAGCAAUAAGCGUAAAAAAGCUUCAAGGCCUAUUGUGUUUAAUCACAAAGUACAAAUAAAGUGUGAGAUUUAACAAAAAAGGCAUAAAAGGAGAAAAAAAUAUAAAUAUAUGUCUAGUCCAAGACUAAUAAUAUAAGUAUGAAUGAGAAAUAUAUGAACAAAUUUUUUUUUUUUUUUAAUAAAGUAAAAUAUCAAUUGUUUAACCUUCGUCAAGGAAAAGUAUGUAUUACAAAUUAGAACCUAAGCUGCAUAUUAAGCGAGACGAGCGCUCAACACAAUUUGAGUCUUACUUCGAGGUUUAUGCGUGCCUUUGACAACACUGGUGCACUCACAGAUUUCAAAUUCAUGGUUCGCCUCUGUAUAUACUGCCUUUUAUGUUGAGCCGGGGGUUUAUCGGAAACAGCCUCUCUACCUCUUUUGAGGUAAUGGUAUGAACUGCGUACACUAUACUCUCCCCAAAUUUUACUAUGUGGGAAUAUACUGAGUUUAUUGUUGUUAUUGUUGUUGUUUUUAAUGGUGAUUUUAAUGUCAUGAUUCUAUAUUUUAUCAAUAUCUAACUAAAUAGUCUGUGUAUCAUAUAUAGGCUCUCCCUGAUCUAAUAAAAAAUAUAAAAAAAUUCAUUCUUUUAAUGUAAAAUAUACUAUUAUUUAAUAUACUUAAACAAGACAUUGCUGUCUGAAAGUUUUAUAACUAAUACCUAGAUUAUCUGCACAUUGAGCGGCUAAAUAUACUAGUUAAAAUUAGAAACAGAAAACAAUUUUUUUUUUUUAAAAAAAGAAAACACUGCUGCUUCAGCUCCCACCCUCUUUUCUUGUUCUUCACACACCCUCUUCUUCUAGCCCCCGUCUCUCUCCCCUUUCCUCAUACUCUCUUUUUCUCGACGAAAUGUGAAUAGAAAAUUCUUCUUAGCGUAUUAUUUUGCUUCUUCGAGGAGUUUUCGAAAGUUUACACUGUUAUAGUGUUGGGUUCGAAAUCGAGAGGGCGUCAUGCGGAAUCUAUUAGUUAUAAAAUAUAAGAAGAUAAAUUAGACGACAAAUAAAAAAUUAAAUUAAAAAUAUACUAUUAGAUAUGGUUUGACCAAACGGUCUACAUAUUAAAAAUAAAAAUAAAAAUCCUAAAUCUUGUUAGGAGAAAUCUCUCUAAACAAAGACUUUUAAACGACUACAUUGUGAAUGUUACUAUGUUAUGGUAUGAGAAGGGAGUCUUCCUCCAAGAAAGAGAUUAGCCAUUUUUUCUUUCAGGAAAAGUAAAAGUAAUUAUGAUAGUUUUAUUUUCCUUCUAAGAAGAAGUAAAACUUAAAUAUAAUAAGAAAAUCAGAGCAAAAAUCUUAACAAAUCUUUCCUUUUUUGUUUGAUUUUCUUUAAAAUAUUCUUGAUCCGUCUUCUUCGUAUCACAUGCAUGAACUUCGUUCUUGAUAUAAUCUUCAUAACUGUUGCUUGUCAUGGUUAAAAAUAAGGUUUAAAAUAUUAUGGUUAAAAAAUUGGUUUUAAAGUAAAUUUUAUUUUCAUUUUUAAAGAUGCAGCAGCAGGCGUGUUGAAAAUAUGAUUGAAACUUGUUCUUCAUAUGUAGUUUGAUAAAAAUCUUCAUUAUCAUCCAAAUUGUUGCAGUUUGAUUUUGAAACCGCUUUGAACCUGUUUAAUCUCGUCUCACCACACCAUUGGACCAUUGAACCGUAAGUUUUGUCACCACUUGUUGUGUUUGAAAUCAAGAGGGUAUUAUGCGGAAGCUAUUAGUUGCAAACUAUAAGAUGAUAAACUAGACGACACAUGAAAAAGUAAAUUAAAAAUAUACUAUUGCAUAUGGUUUGGCCAAACGACCUACAUAUUAAAAAUAAAAUUGAAAAUUCUAAAACUUAUUGGGAGAAAUCUCCCUUAAAUUAAGACUCUUAAACGACUACAUUGUGGAUGCUACUAUGUUAUGAUAUGAGAAGGGAGUCUUUUUUAUUUAUAGAUGUCAAAAUCUUUCUUCCAAGAAAGAGGUUAGCCAAAUAUAAAAAAAAUAUUAUAUUUUUUAUUUUAGGAAAAGUAAAAGUAAUUAUGAUAAUUUUUAUAUUUUUUUGUAAGAAAAAAUAAAACUUAAACCCUAAUACACAGUGCCAUUGGGUAUUUCAGAUUUGGCUCAAUAUUUCAACCAAGUAUUUUCAUUUGUUUUCAUCUGUUAUUAGAAAGAAAAAAGAAUAGUGCCAAGCAUGAAAUGAAUGUAUAUUUAAUCUUGUUUUCAAUUGCGAAUUAACAAGUUCAUUUUAGUAGAAAUUCCAACUAAAAUCCUCAGCUACUGAACUUGCUCCGUCGAUCUCUUUCAUUGGAGAACUCCUCGUUUGGUCCAUUUUCCGGCAACAACGAGCUGUUUUGCUUCUAAUCACUUCUUUUUUUGCCCCCGACCGUGGAAUCUAAAUAGUUGGUAAAGAGUGUGCUUAGUAAAAUUGUGUGCAGAUAUAUGAAUUUUGAAAUAUUCUAGUAGUGGUGUUGGUGACAUCAAUGAAGGAAAAGGGAGGAAUGAAGUGGAAAACAAAAAAAAUUAAAAUUAAAAAUAAGUGAUUCGGAAGAUGAUGUGUCAUUAUCAUUGUGCAGUUGAAGUACAUGCAAAGUCAAAGGGGUUUGAAGUGUUGUGGGAUUGAUUAGCAAAGUCGUGAAUAAAAAGAUCCAACUGACAAACGGAGCCACAGCAACGUACAAGGUUUCCCGGUCAUUUCACCAACUAUUAAGCUUAUAAUUUUGAAAAAAUUUCUGUUUAAUCAGAGUCGUAGAAACUGUUUCAAACAAAUUACUAGGCCUGUUACUGAUCUCAAAAAGAAAACAAAUCCAGUAUAGCCAAAAAGAGCGUUAAGGUAAACUUUCCGGUUAGCUUGAUUUGUCAUUAUGUCACAGGCAUUCUUGUCUAAUUUCUCCCAUUCACCAUCUUGUAACAACACAUUCCAAAAAAUUUCAUGUCACAUCGGGUAAAAACAAAAACGGGAGCCUAAAUUUUGAGUAGCAACAAAAGCACAAAAAGCAAGUUAAUCCGAACAGGUUCAAAAUGGUUUGUUCCGUUCCAACGGAAAGAUAGAGAUGUAGCUUAAGUUUAACGUUAAUCUACAUAACAUAUUUAGACAAACGACCAAUUCACAAACAUAAAGCUGAUACAAUGAGCAGUAUCUUCUUCAUUCAGAACCUUCCAAGCCACAGCUUUCUCAUAAGAAACAGGCCUACCCAUGGUCGAUAAACAGAUUCCACCUUGGAGAAACGCAAAACCCUGUCAUCAGCAUAUUUAGACAACAUGGUUAGAUUCUCGUCAAAUUAGUGGAUCAAAUUUUGUUGACUUUUUAAGAGGUGUGAAUGAAAAAUAAAUAGAUACGACCGAAAAAGAUGCAUGUUAAAAGACACCUUUUCACUUUGAAUAGUUGUUACCUUUCUAAUAGAUUGUGACUCUUUCAAUAAGUUGUGACUAUUUUGAUAGGCUGUGGCAUUUCCAAGCAACUAAUAGAUUGUGACUCUUUCAAUAGUGGCAUUUUGUUACCUUCAUUGGCUAUUACAUUUUUUUUAUUUUAGUAUCUUUAAAUUUAUAUAUUUUAUAUCGAUGUGUUAUUACAACAAAUAUGCAUCCAAUUAUCGAUUUGAGGUUAUUUCAUGCGUUGAAAACAUUAGGAUAAUGUUAGCUCACGUUCCUAUUGGUGGGUGAACAAUCCAACAUUUGGUGAAUUCUGCUUCACAAUGAUAGAAAGAGCCGACAUCGAACGAUCAAAAAGCAACGUCGCUAUGAACGUUGGGACCAUCGCAAUGCUUUGUUUUAAUUAAACAGUCGGAUUCCCCUUGUCCGUACCCACUCUGCACGUCGACAUGUCCAGUGAACGCCUAUGCCAACUAGCGACAGUCACCUCAAAGUGCCUUCAACAUCUCUACCCUCCUUAUAUAUGCUCAUAAAAAAACUCAAGUGCCAAGAGUAGAUAAAUUGAGAGGAUCUGCCUCAGCUUUUAAUAUAUAAAAAAAAAUUCUGAAUUUCAUCUGCAUAUUUACUGACAAAUUAAUAUUGAGUUUGUGUGUGAUUAUUGAGUUCGACGAAGUUAUAGGCAUUUGAAGUACCACUACACUAAUAAGUGUAUCCGUUUUAUAUUGGGAGGAAGUAAUCCAUAACCUUAGAUACAGUGAGGGGAUUAAAUUUCUUACGGACACACGAAAAUUGUGGAUUCGAAUAUUUUAAUAAGUACAUUACUUUUCUUUUUUUUCAGUUUUACUUUUUCUGAUUUAUUAUUAAGUUUGAAACACAUGAUAACGACAAGCUUAAGGAAUUUAACAUCAAUUGUUUUUAUGUGUCCGUUGUGACUUUUUGAAAAAAAAAUAAUGGUUACUAAUCAGACGGAACUUGGAAAACGAAAAAAAGGACGAAACGGUGCAGUAGACAAUUCUGCAUUUAGGUGUUACUUUUUCUUUGAUAAAAGAUUUUAAUCUUUGUAAUUGAACAAUUCUGCAUUUUGGUGUUACUUUUUCUUUGAUAAAAGAUUUUAAUCUUUGUAAUUGAACUUCAUUAGAAAGUGGUGUCAAGUCGGUGAGAUUUCAAACCAACCUCUGCAGUUGUAAGUGAUUUUAUUAAAUAGAAAGAAAAAAAAAAAAAAAAAGCAAGUUUAAGAAGUUUUAUUUUGUAUAGAGAUUUUCUCUUUUAUUUUAUUCUGAUUUGAUUAGAGAUUAAAAUCUUACGAUUUUCUAUUUUAUUUUUAACUCAGUUCAAAGAAUAUAAAAACAUCAUUAAGUUAAUAAGAGUUUUGUUUCUCUCGAUUCGAAGAAUAUAAAAACUUUAUUGAGUGAAUAAAAACCUUUUUUAUUGUUAACUAAUUUUAUUUAUGCUAGUGAAAUAAAAAUGGGAGAAUCACUGAUGACGUGAUGGCUUCUGCAUCUGCGGCAACAAAUGUUGUUUCGUCAAUCUGUGUUACUCCUACUAUGACUGCAGCAGAAAAGCCUGAAAAGUUUUCCAAUAGUGAUUUCAAAAGAUGACAACAGAAGACGUCGUUCUAUCUGACCACUCUUAAUUUGCAUAAGUUUAUUUCCUAGGAACAUUUCCACCUUGUCAAGUGACACUUUUGAGAAAGAACGUUUUCUAGUAACUGAGGGAUGGAAUCAUUCAAAUUUUCUUUGCAGAAACUAUAUUCUGAAUGGCCUGGAAGAUGGUCUGCAUAAUGUUUAUAGUGUUUGUAAAAUUUAGAAAGAGUUAUGGGACGCUUUUGACAAGAAAUACAAGAACAAAAAUGCUGGACUAAAGAAAUUUGUGGCUGUCAAAUUCCUAGAAUUUAAGAUAGUUGACAAAGUGACCUUCUUUGUGGAGGGACUUUAAGAACUACUUAAAGCACAAAAGAAAGAAAAUGAAGUUGGAGGAUCUAAUUGUUCGUCUGCGGAUCGAAGAAGAUAAUAAAACUACAAAAAAGAAAGCUACUGAAAAAUCAGCAUUGCCAGAAGAAAAUAAUGUUGAAACUUCUCCAAAUAAGAAAAGAAAGAAGUUUGACGAAGAUAGAAAUGCACCAGAAAAGAAAAAGUUCAAGGAAAUUGCUACAACUGUGGCUAGUUUGGCCAUAUGUCUUCAAAUUAUCGUGCUCCUAGAAAAGAUAAAGAAGAAGGACCAAGCAAAUAUGAAUGAAGAUAUAGACAACUUAUGUGCAUGCUAUCAGAAUGUAAUUUGAAAAAAAAUCCCAAAGCAUGGUGGGUAGAUUAGGGUGCAACUGACAUGUUUGUUCUAAUAAGAAACUGUUUUCUUCCUAUACUUCAUCAGGAUCCGGUGCGACCAUUUUUAUGACAAAUUCUACAAUGACAAAGAUAGAAGGAACUGGUCAGAUAGUCUUGAAGAUGACUUCGGGCAAGAUCGUGAUUCUUAACAAUGUCCUUCAUGUUCUCGAAAUGCGAAAAAAUUUGAUCUCGACACCAUUUCUAGUCAAGAAUAGAUUUAAAUGUGUGUUUGUUUCUGAUCAAGUUGUAAUUAGUAAGAAUGAUAUGUAUGUGGGAAGAGAUUACCUUACGGAGGGUCUUUUCAUGCUAAAUGUAAUCGCACUUGAAAAAUAAAAGUCUUGUUUCUUCUUAAAGAAAAGACAUCUUUUCCCCCUGAACUUGUCCUCCAAACUCACUUUAGCACUUAAACUUAACUUUCGUUUAUUUACCCCCUUAACAUCUUUAAAGUGAAUUAUUUUCGCCCCUCAAAACUGAAUAUCACUCUCACAACGAAGAGUGUGUUACACCGCUUACACAUCAAUGCCACGUUGGAGCCACGUCAUUGUCACGUAAGAAAUUACUAUUUUAAAAAAAAUAAUCCCUUCCACAUUAUUUUUAUAUAUUUUUUUGAAAAAAAAAUAACAAAUAUAUAUACUAUUUUAUUUUUCACCCCCACCCCUCAUUUUUCUUUUUUUUUUUCAAAUCACCCACCCCCGUUCUCGACCCCUCUAUUUCUUUUUCUUCUUCCAGCCAACCCUCAUCCCCACCUCCAUUUUUUUUUUCAUUUUCCUUAAUUAACACCAUUAGAGAGCAAUCACAAAAUAUCAAAUUAAAAAUUUUUCUCCAUUAAACACCAUCUCAACCUUCAAUCAAACUUUCUCAAGUUUUCAACCACCAAAUUCACCCUUGAAGAUGUAAACAUAAAUAAAGAAUAGCGAAGGAACAAUGAACUUUAAAAAUAAAAGUUACAAAAAUUUCUUUCAAUUUUGUUAUUCUUCGAACUGAAUUAAUGAAGCAAUUUAAUGUCUUCAAUUUCUUCGUUGGAGAAUGUAUUAAUGGAGAAAAAUGAAAAAAAAUGGAGGAAAGUGUUGUUGGAGGAUGUGUUUGAGGCUGUUAAUGGAAGAAUUAAUUGUUGUAGAAAAUGGGUGUUGUUGUUUGUUGAUGUAUUGGAGAAGAAAAUGGUAUGAGUGUGGGGUGUAGGUGUGUGGGGUAGGUAUGAGAGGUGAAAGGGGGUGGGGGUAUUGAAGAAGAAAGGAGUAUUUUCUUUUAAAUAUAUAUAUAUGUGUGUGUGUGUGUAAGUGGGAAAAG
rnacentral:lncRNA from 1 species